GCGGGGAUUUAAGUUUGCGGUGAAAGUUUGAGGCUCAACCUUAAAAUUGCCGUUGAAACUGGGUUCCUUGAGUGUAGAUGAAGUAGGCGGAAUUUGUGGUGUAGCGGUGAAAUGCAUAGAUAUCACGAAGAACUCCGAUUGCGCAGGCAGCUUACUAAGGUACAACUGACACUGAAGCACGAAAGCGUGGGUAUCAAACAGGAUUAGAUACCCUGGUAGUCCACGCUGUAAACGAUGAUUACUAGCUGUUUGCGAUAUACAGUAAGUGGCUAAGCGAAAGCGAUAAGUAAUCCACCUGGGGAGUACGCCGGCAACGGUGAAACUCAAAGGAAUUGACGGGGGCCCGCACAAGCGGAGGAACAUGUGGUUUAAUUCGGUGAUACGCGAGGAACCUUACCCGGGCUUGAAAUGUAGAAGAAUAGAUUGGAAACAGUUUA
rnacentral:rRNA from 1 species